CUGGGAAAGGUGUAGCAGUAGUUAACCUUGCGUGACCCUGGUCCAUGACUCACUCACUGGACUCCCAGGCUGGCCCUGAUUCCUCGUGGAUGGAUGGCCAGCGCGGACACGGAAACAACACAGGCCUGAAAGGAGGACUGAAGUGAGGUGACAGGAAGCCGCUGGAAAAAAGAGCCAGCCACCGAGCGAUCUGGUGAGGAAAUCAGAAACCCGCACCUGCCAGUCCAGGAAUGGGUCCAACACGCCCAGGGCCUGACACCUGACUUCCCAGGACCAACUCAUAGCUGUCUGGUGAGGAAAAUGCCUCAAAGUUUAGCUGAUUCGACUGGAAGCCAAAGGCUGGAGUGGAAACCUGCUGCGUCAGAGAGGCUGAGGAGCAACCAGCUGACCCUCUCUCUGCCGGCAUCUCUGAAAGAGACCAUCCUUCCACUCCGCCAAAACAGAAGGAUCCACACUGCACUAAGUCUCUCCCUACUACUUCCGGAGACAUCUGCUGUUGGCUUCCUCUGACUCAGCCUGAACGCCACUCUAGUAAAUACACAUCCGUUCUACCAGGCCUGUACCUCUGGCGAACCCAACUAAACACGAUGCUACAUUGAAAGCAAGAGGAAUGAUUUUUUAAUAUCAAUUAAGGACCCAACCACUAGUCAAGUACCUAAUUGGCUCUGU